AUUGAACGCUGGCGGCAUGCCUUACACAUGCAAGUCGAACGGCAGCACGGGAGCAAUCCUGGUGGCGAGUGGCGAACGGGUGAGUAAUAUAUCGGAACGUGCCCAGUCGUGGGGGAUAACGUAGCGAAAGCUACGCUAAUACCGCAUACGAUCUAUGAAUGAAAGCGGGGGAUCGCAAGACCUCGCGCGAUUGGAGCGGCCGAUAUCAGAUUAGGUAGUUGGUGAGGUAAAGGCUCACCAAGCCGACGAUCUGUAGCUGGUCUGAGAGGACGACCAGCCACACUGGGACUGAGACACGGCCCAGACUCCUACGGGAGGCAGCAGUGGGGAAUUUUGGACAAUGGGCGCAAGCCUGAUCCAGCAAUGCCGCGUGCAGGAUGAAGGCCUUCGGGUUGUAAACCGCUUUUGUACGGAACGAAACGGCGAGCUCUAAUACAGUUUGCUAAUGACGGUACCGUAAGAAUAAGCACCGGCUAACUACGUGCCAGCCGCCGCAGUAA
rnacentral:rRNA from 1 species